UAGGGAAUCUUCCGCAAUGGGCGAAAGCUUGACGGAGCAACGCCGCGUGAGUGAUGAAGGUCUUCGGAUCGUAAAACUCUGUUAUUAGGGAAGAACAAGUGUGUAAGUAACUAUGCACGUCUUGACGGUACCUAAUCAGAAAGCCACGGCUAACUACGUGCCAGCAGCCGCGGUAAUACGUAGGUGGCAAGCGUUAUCCGGAAUUAUUGGGCGUAAAGCGCGCGUAGGCGGUUUUUUAAGUCUGAUGUGAAAGCCCACGGCUCAACCGUGGAGGGUCAUUGGAAACUGGAAAACUUGAGUGCAGAAGAGGAGAGUGGAAUUCCAUGUGUAGCGGUGAAAUGCGUAGAUAUAUGGAGGAACACCAGUGGCGAAGGCGACUCUCUGGUCUGUAACUGACGCUGAGGCUCGAAAGCGUGGGUAGCAAACAGG
rnacentral:rRNA from 1 species